rnacentral:rRNA from 1 species
AACGAACGCUGGCGGCGUGCCUAACACAUGCAAGUCGUCCGAGAAACACGUCUUUCGGGAUGUGGAGUAAAGUGGCGCACGGGUGAGUAACACGUGGGUAACCUGCCUCGAGGUUCGGGAUAACUCCGCGAAAGCGGGGCUAAUACCGGAUAAGACCACAUGAGCUUCGGCUCAAGGGGUCAAAGUCGGCCUAUCGAAGAAGCCGGCGCCUGGAGAUGGGCUCGCGGACCAUUAGCUGGUUGGGAGGGUAACGGCCUACCAAGGCUAAGAUGGAUGACUGGACUUAGAGGAUGAUCAGCCGCACUGGAACUGGGAUACGGUCCAGACUCCUACGGGAGGCAGCAGUGAGGAGUAUUGCGCGAUGGGGGAAACCCUUACGCACCAACGCCGCGUGGGUGAAGAAGGCUUUCGGGUUGUAAAGCCCUGUCAGGUGGGAAGAAACCUCUGCAAGUGAAUAGUUUGCGGAACUGACGGUACCACCAAAGGAAGCACCGGCUAACUCCGUGCCAGCCGCCGCAGUAACAC